rnacentral:misc_RNA from 1 species
UCUCCGUUGGUGAACCAGCGGAGGGAUCAUUACUGAGUCGUAAAAAACUCCCAACCCAUGUGAAUUUACCUAUGUUGCCUCGGCAGGACCUACCCGGGACCUACCCUGUAGCCUGCCGGCGGACACCUUAACUCUUGUUAUUUUAUGGAAAUCUGAGCGUCUUAUUAAAUAAGUCAAAACUUUCAACAACGGAUCUCUUGGUUCUG